ACAUGCCUACAACAUAGCAUUAGUGCAAUGACACUUAUUAGAACUCCACAGUUAAGCAUGCUCAGGCUAGAGUAGUACUUGGAUGGGUGACUACCUGGGAAGUUUUAGUGUUUUACAUGCC
rnacentral:rRNA from 1 species